rnacentral:lncRNA from 1 species
AAGUUCCUUACAUGUUUUGGAAAUUAACCCCUCACCAGAUACACAAGUGACAAAUAUUUUCUCUUUUUCCUCAUAGCCUGCCUUUAGCGAUUCUUAACAUAGUCCAUGGCCAUGACAACAUCAAAGAGUUGUGAGCCAAAUGUUCUUCGACAGGAAACUGGGUGGAAUACACAUUAUUCCUGGACAAACCUUGGAGCAGACCUGCCCUUGGUGCUGGCAGGGAGCUCUGUGUUUUCAUUCAGCUUUGUGAACUAAGGAAUCCACAUGGAACAUUCACCAACUCCAACAAAAUGACAGCAUGCAGUUUGUCAGCUGUGCCCUGAGAUAGCCACAGAUUCCAGCAGAGGUCGGAAAGAGUCAUGGACGUUUGAUUCUGAAGACCUGUUACAAUUCGUCUGCUCACUUCUAAUGGGUGCCUUAUGGAUACACUGCAGAGAAACUAUCAGUCAUUAAAUCCAUUUGCAACAGACAGUCCCCUCCCCACUCUGGUAUCCCUACACCCUGGUCCCAGGAA